rnacentral:misc_RNA from 1 species
GAUGAAGAACGUAGCGAAAUGCGAUAACUAAUGUGAAUUGCAGAAUUCCGUGAAUCAUCGAGUCUUUGAACGCACAUUGCGCCCCCUGGUAUUCCGGGGGGCAUGCCUGUCCGAGCGUCAUUGCAACCCUCAAGCACGGCUUGUCUAAUGGGCGGUUCGUCUGCGGCCAUCCGCCGGAGACGCCCCCGAAAUGCAGUGGGGAUGUUCGCUAAAUCGCAGCGUCAGGAAUAGAAAUAAACAAUGCUGACGGCUCGAUGUCGAACGUCCACCUAAGGCGUGCCGCCCCCCCGGGGUGUGCCGCCCAACCUCUCUCGGUUGACCUCGGAUCAGGUAGGGAUACCCGCUGAACUUAAGCAUAUCAAUAAGCGGAGGA